rnacentral:pre_miRNA from 1 species
GCAAUACUCCCUCCGUCCGGAAUUACUUGUCAUCAAAAUGGUUGAAAAUGAAUGUAUCUAAAACUAAAAUACAUCUAGAUACAUCCAUUUCAAUGACAAGUAUUUCCGGACGGAGGGAGUACUGA